GAUGAAGAACGUAGCGAAAUGCGAUACGUAAUGUGAAUUGCAGAAUUCAGUGAAUCAUCGAGUCUUUGAACGCACAUUGCGCCCCCUGGUAUUCCGGGGGGCAUGCCUGUCCGAGCGUCAUUGCUGCCCUCAAGCACGGCUUGUGUGUUGGGCCUCCGUCCUCCUCCCGGGGGACGGGCCCGAAAGGCAGCGGCGGCACCGCGUCCGGUCCUCGAGCGUAUGGCGCUUCGUCACCCGCUCUUGUAGGCCCGGCCGGCGCUUGCCGACACAUCAAUCUUUUUUCCAGGUUGACCUCGGAUCAGGUAGGGAUACCCGCUGAACUUAAGCAUAUCAAUAAGCGGAGGA
rnacentral:misc_RNA from 1 species